GUGACGCCCCGGUCGUCUGGCACCACGAGCUGGUCACACCUUCCAUGGAAACCGCCGGCUCCAAACAGCCAAGGAGUGAGACGCCCGGGUCCGAGCGACGCCUCCUGCCGGCCGCGCUCCGCGCAGCCACGACCUCCCGCCGCGCCCGUUCCACCGGGCUCCGCACUUCGCCGAGAGGGACCCGACCUCCCCGCCUCCCCGAAGCCACUCAAGGCGAGUCCACAAUGAAUUCCCCCCCACCCCGGCCCUGCCUCCUUCCCGAGGACCGGCUGGCGAGUCCCGGAGCUUGCAGGGCCGAGCCGCAGCGGACACUCCGGGUGGCGGGGAAAAGGAAGGGGAACCGGUGCGGCACUCAAAGUUAACUCGAACACAGCCUGCAAACUUCUGGGCUGCAGCCCGGAACGCGCGCCGGCCGGAACGCUCCCGCAGCGCCGAGCCCUCCCGCAGGGGCUGCCCCGGCUGCAACCCCCCGAGAGGAGUCGCGGGCGGCCCCGCAAGCCCUGCGGCGCCAGUCCAUCUAUCCACCUGCCCAGCUCCCGGCGCUGAACCCGAUCCCACCCCGCCACCGACGGACGCGAGCGCAUUCAGCUCUCCCGGGCAGUCUAGGGAUCCGCCGCUGUCCCGACGGGGACUCGGGGCGGCGAGGCUGGCGCCCGCCAUCCCGCUGGGGGUCCCUCCGCCGCUCGCUGCCCACCCCCCAGCCCCUUUUACCUCAGGCAAGCCGCCCUUCGAACGCAGCCCAGGCGCGGCGUGGAGGGCCGCCUCUGCGCCAGCGGUCCGAGCCGAGGACGAGGGCCGGUGUCUAGGGGUCGUGGGCGGCCGACGCGGCGAGCGGCGCGCGGGCCAUUCCGCGGACCUGAGCGCUGAAAGCCGCAACUGCUCUCGAGGCUCCAGCUCGCUCGCCUGUCAGCUCCAGCUCUGCUUUAAGUGGCUUCCGGUCUCCUCCCCCGGGCCGGCUCGUCUUCGGGGAGGGAGGAGCUUCGGGGCCGAGAGGGGGUGGGGUGGGGUGAGGGGGCCGGGCGAUCAGUGAGUGCCGGGAAGCUGGGGCCCCGCCUCCCGUGCGCGUGCUCCGGACGGAGGGGCGCGCGGCGGCUCGGCGCUCCGGGGAGGAGGAGGAGGAGGGAGGGGAGUGUCCGCUCGCGAGCGGCCGAGGGUCCCCGAGGCUCUGACGGUUCGCGAGGCCGGGGAGGCUACCUCCCACCCCCCGUGAGCCUGCGAGGAGAGGAGGCGCGCGCCGCGUGGGGCGGACUCCACCUGCCUGCGGACAGAUGCAGGGUCACCGUGUUCCGCGGACACCCGGGCACGCGAUGUGAGAGAGGCUGUGAGACGGAACGGCCGGUUUCGGUGCGGUUGCCUUUGUUUAUCUGCCUCCUUUCAAGACGCCUCCAGAUCCCGAGGGGGAAGCGAGUGGCCGCCUCCGCCGCUGCCUCCAGACGGGGUCGCCGGCCCCGCGCCGUACGGGCGGGAAGGCUGAGCCCGCCCCGCCGCCUGUUCCCGGACAGCCUCCGCUAGGGGAAGCCAAUGUUAGGGUUUUGACAAUAGAGAUGCCUAUGCGCGUGUUUUGCAGCCCACGGAUCACGUAGUGACUAAUUCAUUUAACAAGUCAGAGCGCCUCUUCCGCGCCGAGCGUGUACUAGGUUUAGAACUACGACCUUCAUCACCCAGACCCCACGCCCUGCACUCAUAGAGACUUAGGGAACCGAGAGUUAACCUCAAAAAUAUACAUGAAACUGGCAUCUGGAUUGUAACUUCAUGUAUUCAAUAGCUUUUUGUUGUUGUUGUUUUUUUAGUUGGAAAUAAACAUUAAAUUUGUAUAAUCCGAAUUUAAGAAAAAAAAUUAAAAGAUCGUACUUAUUCAAAA
rnacentral:lncRNA from 1 species